AAGCACGAAAGCGUGGGUAUCAAACAGGAUUAGAUACCCUGGUAGUCCACGCAGUAAACGAUGAUUACUAGGAGUUUGCGAUACACAGUAAGCUCUACAGCGAAAGCGUUAAGUAAUCCACCUGGGGAGUACGCCGGCAACGGUGAAACUCAAAGGAAUUGACGGGGGCCCGCACAAGCGGAGGAACAUGUGGUUUAAUUCGAUGAUACGCGAGGAACCUUACCCGGGUUUGAACGUAGUCAGACCGGCCUUGAAAGAGGUCUUCUAGCAAUAGCUGAUUACGAGGUGCUGCAUGGUUGUCGUCAGCUCGUGCCGUGAGGUGUCGGCUUAAGUGCCAUAACGAGCGCAACCCUUAUCACUAGUUACUAACAGGUUAAGCUGAGGACUCUGGUGAGACUGCCAGCGUAAGCUGUGAGGAAGGUGGGGAUGACGUCAAAUCAGCACGGCCCUUACAUCCGGGGCGACACACGUGUUACAAUGGCAUGGACAAAGGGCAGCUACCUGGCGACAGGAUGCUAAUCUCUAAACCAUGUCUCAGUUCGGAUCGGAGUCUGCAACUCGACUCCGUGAAGCUGGAUUCGCUAGUAAUCGCGCAUCAGCCAUGGCGCGGUGAAUACGUUCCCGGGCCUUGACAC
rnacentral:rRNA from 1 species